UAAUAGUGUAUAUUAAAGUUGUUGCAGUUAAAAAGCUCGUAGUUGAAUGUUGGUGUCGAACGAGCGGUCAGCUUCGGCUGUACUGCUCUCUCGACUCCUUCCUUCUGUGGACUACGUCGCACUUUACUGUGUGGCGCUAGGACGCAGAUCGUUUACUGUGAAAAAAUUAGAGUGUUCAAAGCAGGCCGUACGCUUGAAUACAUUAGCAUGGAAUAAUGGAAUAGGACGUCGGGCCUAUUUUGUUGGUUCUAGGACCGUCGUAAUGAUUAAUAGGGACAGUUGGGGCCGUUUAUAUUCCGUAGUCAGAGGUGAAAUUCUUGGAUUUACGGAAGAUAAACUACUGCGAAAGCAUUCGGCAAGGAUGUUUUCGUCAA
rnacentral:rRNA from 1 species